rnacentral:lncRNA from 1 species
AAAAACACAGACUUUCCACCAAAAAUAUGGAGGUCGAAAUAAAGAAGAACAAGAGUGAGGCCAAAAGAGCUCAAUAGAAUCAGAUUUACAGCAUAACACUUAAAAUCUAAAUAAGCGUACAAUAAGGAGAGGAUUUUACCUUGUGUUGAGCAGUAAACUAGAGCUUAGACGUCAAAGAUUCUAACUUCUAAAUUCCUCGAACUCGAAUUCAAAAUCAGAAACGAAAAGAUGAAAGAAUAUAGGAAUUUUAUGAAACCUAAUGCUUGAAGUAUGUCUUCUCCCCCCUCUUCUCUAUUGUUCUUGGAUCUCUCCUUCUCCCACCCUCCAAUGUAAAGAGGCCUGCCCUUUUAUAGGCGAGAUCGGAUUUCAAAAUCGGAUUUAUAAUCCGAAAAUCAUUGGGGACGGAGCUGCAAUUAGAUGUCACAACAUCGCCUUUUCAGGUUGUGAAUUGUUGGAUCCAUCUCGACCACAAAUUCAAAUUAAUUAAACAAAACAUAGCCGAAGUAGAGGUGUAGGUGUUGUAGGGAUCCAUUUUUGAGCUAACAGUGAGCCACACAGCUGACCCAAAAAUGAGAAACACUUGACUGUAAUGGGACUAUAUUUUCAUAUCGACUGGCAAAUAGUAUUAAAAAAAAUUCUCUCAAGAUGUUAGGUAAAUCAAUAGCAUAGACUUGACCAAAUUAUGCCAUCACAAUCAGUAAGCAGGUUCAAACAAAAAUAAUUUUUCUGAAGAUUCGUAUUCAACCAAAAACACAGACUUUCCACCAAAAAUAUGGAGGUCGAAAUAAAGAAGAACAAGAGUGAGGCCAAAAGAGCUCAAUAGAAUCAGAUUUACAACAUAACACUUAAAAUCUAAAUAAGCGUACAAUAGGGAGAGGAUUUUACCUUAUGUUGAGCAGUAAACUAGAGCUUAGACGUCAAAGAUUCUAACUUCUAAAUUCCUCGAACUCGAAUUCAAAAUCAGAAACGAAAAGAUGAAAGAAUAUAGGAAUUUUAUGAAACCUAAUGCUUGAAGUAUGUCUUCUCCCCCCUCUUCU